CCCCCAGUAACGGCGAGUGAAGAGGGAAAAGCCCAAAUUUGUAAUCUGGCCCUUUCAGGGUCCGAGUUGUAAUCUCGAGAACUGUUUUCCGUGCUGGACCGCGUACAAGUCUGUUGGAAUAUAGCUUCAUAGAGGGUGAGAAUCCCGUACAUGACGCGGACUACCAGUACAAUGUGAUACAGUCUCUAAGAGUCGAGUUGUUUGGGAAUGCAGCUCAAAAUGGGUGGUAAAUUCCAUCUAAGGCUAAAUAUUGGCGAGAGACCGAUAGCGAACAAGUACCGUGAGGGAAAGAUGAAAAGCACUUUGGAAAGAGAGUUAACAGUACGUGAAAUUGUUGAAAGGGAAACGCUUGAAGUCAGUCUUGUACUUUGUUGUUCAGCCCUCGGGUGUAUUCAACUUUGAACAGGCCAGCAUCAGUUUCAGAUGUCGGAUAAGGGUAGAGGAAACGUAGCAGUCUCGGCUGUGUUAUAGUCCUUUACUUGAUACGACGUUCGGGACUGAGGAACGCAGUGAGCCUUUUGGCGGGUCUUCGGAUCUUCUCACUAUGGAUGCUGGCGUAAUGGCUUUAAACGACCCGUCUUGAAACACAGACCAAGGAGUCUAACAUGCUUGCGAGUGUUUGGGUGUCAAACCCGGGCGCGUAAUGAAAGUGAAUGUAGGUGGGAAUCGCAAGAUGCACCAUCGACCGGCCUGGAUUUUUAAUGAUGGGUCUGA
rnacentral:rRNA from 1 species